rnacentral:rRNA from 1 species
CCAANGAGGCAGCAGGCGCGUAAAUUACCCAAUGUGGACUCCACGAGGUAGUGACGAGAAAUAUCAAUGCGGGGCGCUUCGCGUCUUGCUAUUGGAAUGAGAGCAAUGUAAAACCCUCAUCGAGGAUCAACUGGAGGGCAAGUCUGGUGCCAGCAGCCGCGGUAAUUCCAGCUCCAGAAGCGUAUGCUAAAGUUGUUGCAGUUAAAAAGCUCGUAGUUGAAUUUCUGGUGUGGGAGCCCAGGCCUGGGUGCGAAUGCGCCUUGUAUUGCCUUGCGGCUCCUUUGCCAUCCUCGUUUUACAUUUGAAAAACCUCUUUCUGUGUUCUCAAAGCAGAGUGCCCCACGCGCGCCAGGGGGCCGGUGUGUUUAUUAGGAGAAGAUCAUAUGAGACUCGGGCGCUUUUGUGGGGGUGUGCAUCUCAGAGUAGAGAUUAAUGAGAACACUCGGGGGUAUCCAUAUUUGAGAGCUAGGUGAGAAAUUCGUAUUUUUCAAAGACGACACUACUACCGCGAGCGUUUUUACCACAUGUGUUUUUAAUAAUCNAAAACGAAAGUGGGGAGAUCAGAUGAUGAUUAUAUACCGUCGUU